UACAGAGGGGGCAAGCGUUGUUCGGAAUUACUGGGCGUAAAGGGCGCGUAGGCGGCCCUCUAAGUCAGACGUGAAAUCCCUCGGCUCAACCGGGGAACUGCGUCUGAGACUGGAAGGCUUGAAUUCGGGAGAGGGAUGUGGAAUUCCAGGUGUAGCGGUGAAAUUCGUAGAUAUUCGGAGGAACACCAGUGGCGAAGGCGGCUCACUGGUCCAUUACUGACGCUGAGGUGCGAAAGCGUGGGGAGCAAACAGG
rnacentral:rRNA from 1 species